AGACUAGCGUUUAGCUAUGGUGCAAGGUCAAACAUUAGCCCUAAAAUGGCAUAAAGGUUACAGCUGUGAGGAGGAGUUUAUUGACGUGACCGUAACCAUUGCUCCCUUACGAAAAUAAAACCACCAAAAAAAUCCAAGCAGGAUUAGAAGUUAUUGGCCUGCCCAAAGAUCAGCGCCUUCUUCAGCUUAGAUUUUGGUUAUUUGAUCCAGAAUGGGAUCCCGGAGAUUCCACCUUUUCCAUUGUUACUCCUUUUCACAUGAACAGCUCUUAUCUGCACGUAGAAAGAGCAGAACAGACUCCUAAUAAAAAUACCUCCCGGCUUAACUGCAUAGCUGGUAGCUCCUCUCACACAGUGAAACAGCAGCACGCACACUGCCAUAAAAUUGAUAGGAGAGGUGUUUCCCCGUGGGACUAUUAAAUGCAAAUUUCUUUUAGAUCAACGAGGAGACGAGAUAAGUUUUUACACACAUCUGCUGGGUAAUCUCCUUUGGAGAGAGGGCUGCUCGUCUCACGCGGGGUCUGGAGCUCACGAGGGCAGCUGCAAAGCGGACGACCGCUGCCAACAACAGCAGUCGGGAGAAGAGCCAGCCACACGUCCAUGUUGGUCGCUUAAGAGCUACAUCCAGCCCUGCCUGGGCUGCAGGGCCACCCCCGCCGUGUGAAGGUGAGGGGCAGGGGCUGCCCCGAGCACGGGGACGCGCAGGGCGCCCAGCCCUGGGAGCCGCAUCAGCCGGGGUUAGGAGAGCCGGGAGCAGCCGGGCCGAGCCGCGAUAGCCGGCGCUGCCCCGCCAUCUAGUGCCGCCGGCCCGCAUCGCGCUUCCAGAGAGGAAUCGGGCUUAGCCGGCCCGAAUUGCGGGAUCUCCGGCUAUUUUUUCCCCCCUCCCCAUUCAUUUGCAUCAAUAUUUUAUGUGCCGUAAUGGCUGGAUAACCCCGGCGCAAAGAGACUCUAUUUCACAUUGUCGAUAGAAACGGGAAGGGGAUAAAUUACCAGCGGCCACACGCGCUAUUUGUGGCUCAUUUGGAAACUUCUUGAGCUGAUUAGAUGCCUCCUAAAAGUAGAUAUCUAGUGUCAUUCGGAAUCACCGGAUCGCCUGAUUUAGUGCUGAAGCUGCGGAGGGAGCGAAGCCAUUAGCCGAGCACUCAACUUGUUUGGCAAAUGCGGCUUAGUCGUGCCCGACGUGAUUUACAUAUGGAAGCUUGGGAGCAGAGCCAGGUGAAUAAUUUUCAGUGACAGUGAAUAAUGGCCCGGAGCAAUUUUUGUGGGUCCUCCCCCUCCUUUGGUAAUUGUCCGUGAGUAGGUCGCAAUUUCCUCAAACGUAUUCGUUUUUCUGAACGUAUUUGGCGAAUAAUUCCAGUGAACUUAGGGGAUGCCUGUAAGGUGUGAGCAAGCAGUUUUUCAGGGAGCUCUAGAAUCAAUGGGCUUUUAGCUGGUGGGCUGGGAGUAAUGCUGUGUUAAGUCCUUUGGUCAAGAAACACAAGGGUUACUCAUGUACAGAUCUAUGAUUUACUUCCAAAAUCCAUUCACCCUUCUCGUGUAGCGUAUGCUGUGUCUGCAAACUCGGUGCCAUGACAUCUUUAAGAUUAUAAUUAGAUAUGAAAAAAGAAAGAAAAAGAAAGAAAGAAAGAAAGAAAGAAAGAAAGAAAGAAAGAAAGAAAGAAAGAAAGAAAGAAAGAAAGAAAGAAAGAAAGAAAGAAAGAAAGAGAGAAAGAAAGAGAGAAAGAAAGAGAGAAAGAGAGAAAGAGAGAGAGAAAGAGAGAAAGAAAGAAAGAGAGAAAGAAAGAGAGAAAGAGAGAAAGAAAGAAAGAAAGAAAGAAAGAAAGAAAGAAAGAAAGAAAGAAAUAAAGAAAGAAAGAAAGAAAGAAAGAAAGAAAGAAAGAAAGAAAAGAAAGAGAGAAAGAAAGAAGAAAGCAAGCAAGCUGGGGAUACGAUCCUGUCCAGUUUUCUAUUAAAUACAAGUUAACUGUUGGUGAACGUCUUGCUUUUAGUUUUGAUUCCAGUUCAUCCUAGUAGCAUCCAAAAUGGAGAUGGUGGAGAAGUGACUUUGGCCACCCCACAGUCAGCUCUGGGUGUGAAGAACUGAAGUCUCCUGACUCAUGAGUGGAAGCUGGCAGUGAGGGAGAAAGAGCCAGGUUGGACUCUGAAUGUCAUUUCCUUUACAGAAAAAAAAAAAAAAAAUCCCAUUGUUGGCAAGCAAGUGGCAGAAACCAAUUUAGAAAUCAUCUCUGAUUUCUCUAUAUAAAAAUUCCUUCUGCAGUUGGAUCCACAUAUACUACAUCAUAGGCACAGGAACUCACUGUAGAUGAGCAUCAGCGUUAUUUAGGUAAGGGAUGAGUACAAAAAUCACAUGCUAAGUAUGUUAAAACGUAAAUGGUGAUGGGGCAAAGUAAAACAAAUUUAUCUGAGCUGGGGAUGAGCCGUAGUGAAGAAAAUGAUGGUAGAUGACGAGCUGUAUUCAGAACACCUCCACCACCUGUUUCCAUGGGAAAACAAGGCAGCAGCCGAACCAGCAACAGAAAUCUUGGCAGCUUUCAAGAAAAGCAAUACCACACCCCAUAGGCUUGGUGAGCUAUGAAUAACACCAAGGUUCAACUUUACAUGCUAGCACAGGAUAUACUGUCAUCUACAAUUCAAAUCUUUACUUAGGAGUUUAUUGGGUUCAUUAUCAAGAGAGAACAACAAAGAAGUGUUUGAAGACUGGAUCCAGUGAGACCUGGUUUUCUACAGAUUUAUGGCUUGAGGCUCAGCACCUAAGAGGACUUUGUACUGCCUAACAGCAGUUAUGCUCACAUUGUACGUUUUCCCCCAGCUGGGAACGGUAAUAGGGUCUUUCCUACCCAUAUUUCCACCUUCUUGUAACUCAGAGAAAGUUUUUAUCUUUCACAUCUUUGGCCCUCUGUCAAAGUUGCUUAAAUUGACCGGUGAAUUUAAAAACUGUUGAGAUUACCUGGACUGAAAAUCAACAAAAGUGAUGGAAUUAGCCUUGCUUCCUUAGCAAACUCAAAGCUAAUCAACACUACGUUAGAGGGACAGAAACUUCAGACUUCAAAAUGGAAUCGAACAGCAGCAGAAAGAAUGACCUUUUCAAAGCCAGAGGGCCUGGGCGCAUUACCGGAGAGUCUGGGAGAGAGCACAGCUGUAGCACUUGGGAUGACAAGGAGCAGCAUGGGUGUAACACAGCUGAUAUGAGCUUCCUCGAGGUCAACAGCACGUGCUUGACCCUCUCGGGAUGGAAACAGGGGUCCUUCGCACCGCCCGCCCCUGGACAUCAGGCUAUUUUCUCUCUUUUUUCACGUCAGUGAUUGAAGUGACUGCACAGUACUUUCCCACCCUCCCCUUGUGUGCUUUCCUUCCUGGCACUGUGGGAAAUACCACGGUGUCCACUCUUUUUGUG
rnacentral:lncRNA from 1 species